rnacentral:lncRNA from 1 species
CCAACACACACACACACACACACACACACACACACACACACACACACACACACACACACACACACACACACACACCUUUUCUUUACACACACACACACACACACACACACACACACACACACCUUUUCUUUUCCGUUCAUCAGCUUUUCUAUUUGGGGACUUGCUCACUUGUUAGCUGUAGUUCCGGCUCUCUUGUUGCUGAAGCUCUUUUUCCACCAGCAGAGAAUCAGCCAAUGUUCUUGGGUUUCCUGAGAUCUGUUUCCGUCUAGAUGCAAAGGACAUGGAGCACGCUGUUCAGUGAUUCUGGCGUGCUUGGGGGUAGCUGUUUAUAGUAUUCUCCCAGCUCCAAUCUUCAGUUGCUGUGCAGGAGGACAUUUCCUCCUGAACAAAUAUAUCAGUGCAGCUCAGAUUCUGGAAGAAAAUUGCCUCACCUGGCAGAGCCCUCAUUUUGUGUGGGAACAUCAGCUUUGUGUAAAGAAGGCUGUCAUCCCUUCAACCUUUGGGUAGCUGUGACCUACUUCCUUGCUGUCUGGGCACCCACUGUAGCAGCCUUUGUAGCAUCAGUAGAAAAGGGAAGAAUUAGUCUACAGAGGAUGCCUCCAACCCUACUGGCAGGAACCUGGAAGUGACAGGAAUCUAACAGCACAUUAAAACUUCAAAACAAAGCCGUGAACUCUAGCAGUGUUUCUACCUUGAAGACAGAGCAUGGGAGAGAGAGUCAAGAAAACAAAGAUUUGGAACCAAACAGUUCAUCUUGCAGUUGUCUUAAAGGUACAAGUUCCCUGUUAUCUUUCUUUAUGGAGUUGGCAAAUGGAAUGAAGAACCUUAUGCAUGCUAGAGUGAUUAAUUUCACUUUCAGUGCCUUCCUUCCCGAGCCGAAGUGCUUCUGUAGAGACUAAUUCAGUGAAACCUGUUUAGGGGAUCAUCCCUGCUAGACAGACAGCUGCGAGGGGCAUCCGCUUCCCAGCAUGGAUUUCAGAUUAUGACCAAUGAGGAGCCGGAGCUAAGGAACACCUGUCAGCGAUGUUUGCUGCAAGGAGACCAGCUCUUUAAUCGAAUUUCAUUGUACUUCAGAAAAAGGUUUAUUUUAAAUGUGGCGUCUGCUUUUAUGAUUCAUUCCUCUCAGCUGAGACAUCACUUUGGGGCUUAUUUAUGAUGUUGUUCUAGGGUGAAACGAGAAACUGCAAGAAAGUAUUUCAAAAGGCGGCCUUUCCCAGACAUUCAAUUAGCAACCUUGUCAUGUGGGAAAAUAAAAAAAGCAAUGGAAAUCUUUAGUUUUUGUGUGUGAAUAUAAUUAUGAUAGGGAUCCUUCUGAACACACUUUAGAGUGUUGAAGCUGGAUAGUAAAUGCUCUCUGUGAAGUCUGGGGAACUUUCCUUAUGGAAAUCCAUCUCGCUUAUCUGUGAUGUGAGCAGAGCAAACUAUCAUUGAUGCUGAUGGAUUCUGAAAGGCCAUGCUGACUUUCAACUUGGCCCUAAUUGGAGGCCCUGCUAAGCCCCAUAAUACCAGGUACCUUCUCACAGCUGCAGACCAUGGAGUGUAACUAUCAGAAGACAAACUUCACUGUGCAAACUGUAAUUUAAUGGUAUAACUGUGUGCAGCCCAGAAUAUCAGUUAAUUUUCAAAACAUUUUAUUCUACAGCAAUUAGCUCAGGUCCUGGAGGGCAAAAUGACAAGAGGUUACUCGUUCACUAUGUAUUUAAUUAAUUGAAAAAUGCUCCAAUUGCCUUUACAGUUGUUAUUAGAGAGUGGAAUCAGUGUUGCCAGCGCUCAACCAUAAUUGGAACCCCAGGGAAUUAAAUAUUUAGCAUUAGUAAUGUAACGGCACUUAGGACACAAAUUUCUAUUUUCGUAAUGAAAGCUAUACACUGUGAGUGCAAGCGGCUGAAAGGACAGCUGUGACAAGCGAAACGGCCUGGGACAUUUCAAUAAGACACCUCAUUGGACAGCAAGUCUUACCACAUUAUGCGUUUGUAAGAGACCUGCAAGUUUAAUUCCCACAAGGAACUCGUAGCCCAAGUCUUUAGCGUCCUAAUUGCAUGCAGGAUGAACGGUUGGGCAAAUGUCUUGCCAUAAGUGGCUGAAAUUCAUCCUGCUUUCCAAACAAUCGCAUAUAAGUUCGUGCCUUUGUCAAUUUAAAAAUACUGAGACUGUCAGGAAAUAAGGAGCUUGUUUGUUUUCCAUUUAAUUAUAUUUUAAGCACACAUGCUUUCUGUGCUACAAUGAGAAAAGUUAGCUGUUGGUUCUAAUGAGCCGCAGUGUAGAUGCUGGAGACCCUGAGGGAUUCACUCUGUAAAUUAGCUGGAUAAAAAGUACUUGGUUAGGAUAUAGUUGAUGGCUGAGCUGUUCGGAGAACCAGUUAUGGUACUGUCUCUCACUGCUCUUUCAUUCUAAACAGGCCCUGUAGAGACUUUAACAGCUGCCCAUUAAAGCUGCUCAACUUGUCAAAAUGUAUUAUAUUACUCCACUAAUAAAUAGUAUUAAAGGGUAUUUGACUUCACCUCUCAUUUUCAAAGGGGAUCAGGUUGAUAAACACAACUGGCUUAAGCUGGUCUUAUUUUAAUUUGUUUAUGUCAGCUAAGUAAUAUUGAAGGGCCAUGUUUUAAAUUUGCAAACAUUACCUUCCCAGGCAGGCAAAACUUCCCAAAUAUGAUAUACAGUGGAAACAAGGAAUUGAGACACUUAUUGUAGACUGUUUCUCAUUGAAAGGUGCCUGAUUUUGACAUUGUUAGGCCACUUUAAAGAACCUGAGAGCCCUUGACUAAACUGACAACCUCAGAAAAAUAAAAGUCACAAGAUGAAUAAGUAAUGUCACAAGUUUCUGUUGAUUUUCCAUUGUUCCUGUGUCUAUUUUGGAUUAUUCAAAGUGAUCGUGAUUUUUUUUUAUCAAUUUUUAAGCAUUUUUCAAAACAAUGCAUGUUUACUUUAAAAAAAUACUUUAUUUGAUAAAGUCUUCCUUAGACCCUUUCCCAACUCUGCCUGCCUGCCUGCUAGUCUCCUUUGAUAAUAGGUUUUUUUUUUCUUUUGGUCUUGUUUUUUUGCAUGUGCAUGUGUAUAUAUGUGGUGUGCAUAUGUAUGUAUCUGUGAGUAUGAAGGCCAGAGAUUGACAGUUGACAUAAAAUGUCGUCUUAAUCACUUCCCACCAUUUUUAUUGGGGCAGGUCUCUCAGUUGAACCUGAAGCUUGAUGAUCAGCUCAUUCACCCAGCCAGCUUGCUCUGGGUAUAUAUUAUAUACAUACACAUGUUGGUCUAUGCUUAUAGAUCAUAAUGGUGCCUCAGAUCACUCACAUUUAAAAAUUUUGUUACAUUUGUUUUCAG